AACGCUGGCGGCGCGCCUAAUACAUGCAAGUCGAACGGAAACCUUCGGGUUUUAGUGGCGAACGGGUGAGUAACACGUAAGCAACCUGCCUUUAAGACGUGGAUAACAAUUGGAAACAGUUGCUAAGACUGGAUAGGAAAUUAAGAGGCAUCUUUUAAUUUUUAAAAGACCUUUUUCGAAAGGUAUGCUUAAAGAGGGGCUUGCGCCACAUUAGUUAGUUGGUAAGGUAAAGGCUUACCAAGACGAUGAUGUGUAGCUGGACUGAGAGGUUGAACAGCCACAUUGGGACUGAGACACGGCCCAAACUCCUACGGGAGGCAGCAGUAAGGAAUUUUUGGCAAUGGAGGAAACUCUGACCGAGCGACGCCGCGUGAACAAUGAAGUACUUCGGUAUGUAAAGUUCUUUUAUUGAAAAAGAAAAAAUAGUGGAAAAACUAUCUUGACAUUAUUCAAUGAAUAAGCCCCGGCUAAUUAUGUGCCAGCAGCCGCGGUAAUACAUAAGGGGCGAGCGUUAUCCGGAAUUAUUGGGCGUAAAGGGAGCGUAGGCGGUUUGAUAAGUCUAUAGUUUAAAUGCAGCGCUUAACGCUGUAGCGCUAUAGAAACUGUCUGACUAGAGUUAGAUAGAGGCAAGCGGAAUUCCAUGUGUAGCGGUAAAAUGCGUAAAUAUAUGGAGGAACACCAGAGGCGUAGGCGGCUUGCUGGGUCUUAACUGACGCUGAGCACGAAAGCGUGGGGAGCAAACAGGAUUAGAUACCCUGGUAGUCCACGCCGUAAACGAUGAGUACUAAGUGUCGGGUUUCGGCUCGGUACUGAAGUUAACACAUUAAGUACUCCGCCUGAGUAGUACGUACGCAAGUAUGAAACUUAAAGGAAUUGACGGGACCCCGCACAAGCGGUGGAUCAUGUUGUUUAAUUCGAAGAUACACGAAAAACCUUACCAGGUCUUGACAUAAUUUUGCGUCAUUAUAGAAAUAUAAUGAAGGUUAUCAGAAUUACAGGUGGUGCAUGGUUGUCGUCAGCUCGUGUCGUGAGAUGUUAGGUUAAGUCCUAAAACGAGCGCAACCCUUGUCGUUAGUUGCGACCACGUAAUGGUGAGCACUUUAGCGAGACUGCCAAUGAAAAAUUGGAGGAAGGUGAGGAUUACGUCAAAUCAUCAUGCCCCUUAUGAUGUGGGCUACAAACGUGAUACAAUGGCUGUUACAAAGAGUAGCUACAACGUGAGUUUUUAGCCAAUCUCAAAAAAACAGUCUCAGUUCGGAUUGAAGUCUGCAACUCGACUUCAUGAAGUUGGAAUCGCUAGUAAUCGCGAAUCAGCAUGUCGCGGUGAAUACGUUCUCGGGGUUUGUACACACCGCCCGUCAAACCACGAAAGUUGA
rnacentral:rRNA from 1 species